GCAUAUAUGGCUGAGAGGUCGAAAGCACAGGACUCAUAAUCCUUUUUUGAAUAAAAAACAAACAUCAAUGGUUCAAAUCCAUUUAAAUGCA
rnacentral:tRNA from 1 species